CAACGUAGGCCUCUGCCACAAACAUGUUCCACCAGAUCUUCAGUCAGACCAAGAAGCACUGGGGCUUGAUCCCCCUCUUUGUAUGUAUUGGAGCUGGAGGUACUGGAGCAACACUGUAUCUCUUGCAUCUGGCAAUGUUCAGUCUAGAUGUUAGUUGGGACAGAAAGAAUAAGCCAGAGCCCUGGAACAAAAUGGAUCCCAAUGAGCAAUGCGAAUCUACUCAGUGAAUGUAGAUUACAGAAAACUGAAGAAAGAAGUUCCAGAGUUCUAG